rnacentral:rRNA from 1 species
AACGAACGCUGGCGGCAUGCCUAACACAUGCAAGUCGAACGAAGGCUUCGGCCUUAGUGGCGCACGGGUGCGUAACGCGUGGGAAUCUGCCCUUUGCUUCGGAAUAACAGUUAGAAAUGACUGCUAAUACCGGAUGAUGUCGCAAGACCAAAGAUUUAUCGGCAAAGGAUGAGCCCGCGUAGGAUUAGCUAGUUGGUGGGGUAAAGGCCUACCAAGGCGACGAUCCUUAGCUGGUCUGAGAGGAUGAUCAGCCACACUGGGACUGAGACACGGCCCAGACUCCUACGGGAGGCAGCAGUGGGGAAUAUUGGACAAUGGGCGAAAGCCUGAUCCAGCAAUGCCGCGUGAGUGAUGAAGGCCUUAGGGCUGUAAAGCUCUUUUACCCGGGAUGAUAAUGACAGUACCGGGAGAAUAAGCUCCGGCUAACUCCGUG